UACGGAGGGUGCAAGCGUUAUCCGGAUUCACUGGGUUUAAAGGGUGCGUAGGUGGGCUGGUAAGUCAGUGGUGAAAUCUCCAGGCUUAACUUGGAAACUGCCAUUGAUACUAUCAGUCUUGAAUACCGUGGAGGUCAGCGGAAUAUGUCAUGUAGCGGUGAAAUGCUUAGAUAUGACAUAGAACACCAAUUGCGAAAGGCAGCUGGCUACACGAAUAUUGACACU
rnacentral:rRNA from 1 species